rnacentral:rRNA from 1 species
GGACGAACGCUGGCGGUAUGCUUAACACAUGCAAGUCGAACGAGAAGGAAGAGCUUGCUCUUCCUGAAAGUGGCGAACGGGUGAGUAACGCGUGGGUAACCUACCCUUUGGAAAGGAAUAGCCUCGGGAAACUGGGAGUAAUGCCUUAUAAGAUACGUUUGUCGCAUGGCAUUUGUAUUAAACGCUCCGGCGCCAUAGGAUGGACCCGCGUCCCAUUAGCUAGUUGGUGAGAUAACAGCUCACCAAGGCCACGAUGGGUAACCGGUCUGAGAGGGCGAACGGUCACACUGGAACUGAGACACGGUCCAGACUCCUACGGGAGGCAGCAGUGGGGAAUAUUGCGCAAUGGGGGCAACCCUGACGCAGCAAUACCGCGUGAGUGAAGAAGGUUUUCGGAUCGUAAAGCUCUGUUAUUGGGGAAGAAAAAAAGACGGUACCCAAGAAGAAAGUUCCGGCUAACUACGUGCCAGCAGCCGCGGUAAUACGUAGGGAACAAGCGUUGUCCGGAUUUACUGGGCGUAAAGGGCACGCAGGCGGUUUUUUAAGUCAGAUGUGAAAGGCCACAGCUCAACUGUGGACAUGCAUUUGAAACUGAAAGACUUGAGUAUUGGAGAGGCAAGUGGAAUUCCUAGUGUAGCGGUGAAAUGCGUAGAUAUUAGGAGGAACACCGGUGGCGAAGGCGGCUUGCUGGACAAAUACUGACGCUGAGGACGAACGCUGGCGGUAUGCUUAACACAUGCAAGUCGAACGAGAAGGAAGAGCUUGCUCUUCCUGAAAGUGGCGAACGGGUGAGUAACGCGUGGGUAACCUACCCUUUGGAAAGGAAUAGCCUCGGGAAACUGGGAGUAAUGCCUUAUAAGAUACGUUUGUCGCAUGGCAUUUGUAUUAAACGCUCCGGCGCCAUAGGAUGGACCCGCGUCCCAUUAGCUAGUUGGUGAGAUAACAGCUCACCAAGGCCACGAUGGGUAACCGGUCUGAGAGGGCGAACGGUCACACUGGAACUGAGACACGGUCCAGACUCCUACGGGAGGCAGCAGUGGGGAAUAUUGCGCAAUGGGGGCAACCCUGACGCAGCAAUACCGCGUGAGUGAAGAAGGUUUUCGGAUCGUAAAGCUCUGUUAUUGGGGAAGAAAAAAAGACGGUACCCAAGAAGAAAGUUCCGGCUAACUACGUGCCAGCAGCCGCGGUAAUACGUAGGGAACAAGCGUUGUCCGGAUUUACUGGGCGUAAAGGGCACGCAGGCGGUUUUUUAAGUCAGAUGUGAAAGGCCACAGCUCAACUGUGGACAUGCAUUUGAAACUGAAAGACUUGAGUAUUGGAGAGGCAAGUGGAAUUCCUAGUGUAGCGGUGAAAUGCGUAGAUAUUAGGAGGAACACCGGUGGCGAAGGCGGCUUGCUGGACAAAUACUGACGCUGA